ensembl:lncRNA
GCUAAUUCGUACUGCUUGGAUGACCCUGCAUGUAUCGAAAAUGACUACGGUGUUGUGUAGUCAGACAUGAAGGGCAUUAAGUAUCAGGUCUUAUCUAAGGCAAAGAUUACAACCAAAUAGAAAUAUGGUAUGCUGGACCUUAAGACAUUUUCAGCAUUUUCUACUGCUCUCUUUCAAGUGUACAUCUUAGGAUCCAUGUAACGUGGUGUCUGUUUUUCUUCUUUCAAAAAAUGAGAAUGACCAAGAGGAAAAAUGAAAAAAGAGUGAUGCACCACCAGUCUGGUGAUAUUUGUUCUAUCAGGCAUAGACGGAAUGUUCUACUUCUCUAUUUGAGGCAACAUGCUCUUGCUGACCCUUUCUGAGCAGGCAUUUGGACUGGAUCAUUUCCAGAGAUGACUUCCAACUUCCAACUUCUGUGAUUCUGUGAUAAAGCUUAAGAUAAUACUUAGUUUAAAUCCAUUACAUAUUUUAUUCUAUCUUUCUUCCCUGAUAAUAUCUAGCAUUCAAUUAGAGUUUUCACUCUACUGAGGUAACCUCUUUAUAAUCUUGCCUACUACACUCAACUACUACUACUUAUAAGCCUACUACAGUUGAAUGAUCAGCUAAGAGCUAGUCCUAGUUUUAUGUUUUUUCAUCUUACAUUCAUUAUUUACAUUUAACUGUAAUUAAUUUGUAGGAUGCAGUGCUUGGGAAUGGUUGGGCAUUCUAGUUUUAGUGUCAGGACAGACAGACAACCUUCACAAAGCAUCAGUCUGAAGAUAGAGAUGGUAACAAUAGGACCUUUUUCACACAAAUACAUGAAUUGCAAAGUCCUUCUCACAUCUGUCUAAUUGAAUACAUAGGAGAGACAGCUGCUAUUCUCAAACCAAGAAGAGCACUUGCAGUUCAAGCACUUACUGGAGUGAAUGAAGAAGGGAACAGUGUGAUUAAUAUCCAACUACUGUUAUUUAGCAGCUUCUUGUACUCCAUGCCAGAGGGUCUGAUAGUUUAGAUGACUGAUUCCCUAUGGUGCCGUGUAAACACAAGAUGAUUAUCCUUAAUUUUCAAUUUAUUUUUACAAUUGUAUUUUCAGCAAGAAGUAGCUUGACAUACAGCAUCUAAGUUUUUUUAGGUUCUUAGGUGUCUUUUGGGUUGAGAGUUUGGGUCAGCACAAUAGCAGAAUUGAGGCUUUAUGAUUAUUUUAGCACCCAAGUGAGUUUACAUAAUGAUAUAAAAUACUGGCACAAACCAGAGUUUAAUAUGUUAUUGUUUUGAUUAGCAUGAGCUGGUAUAACCUUCGUGGAAGGAUGGGAAAACAAUCUUUCUCAUUUAUGUCAACAAGUACAGAUUGCUGAUCUAUCUUGUUUCUGCAUUUGUUUUGGGUUGUUUUGUUUCUGAGGGCAAAGGGGAUGCAAUAGGGUGGAAGUUUAUGUCCUUUUCAAGCAACAUUUUAUAUUUCUAAUGGAUUUCCCUCUCUGCUCUCCCCCUCAGGAGUAUCAUCCUAAUAUUGCGUCUAAAAGAUUUGCCAUGAAAUGAGACCAAAUCUGAGUUAGUUUGUAGUGAUCUGUUUUCAUAGUCUAAUGUUACUGGACACAUUGCUGUACUUAAAAAGUUACAAGAAAAAUGCUGUUUAGGAGCUACCCAAUUAUUUAUAUGCAAGUAUUAACUGUGAAGCACCUCAGCAUUACAUUUAUGCUGGCACAUUUUGCAUCUCUCUUUAAAUAUCUGUGUAAAAAUUGUCAUGCGGAAGGUUGUUAAAAGUGUUUCUAACUAAUGCAUAUAUAAACAGACACAUAUAUACAUAUAUUUAUUUAUAUUUAUAUUUCCGCUUUUUAAUGUACAGAUAGGGGUUUGAUUUUCUGCAAGAAAUAUGUGGAAUAUUAGGAAUGCAAAUGUAAAACUCCUUGAAGGCAGAAGCGGUUUGCUUCUAUGUUCAAGUUUAUAUCCAUAUUAGCAAGUUGAGAGUAUAAAUGUUGUGGAUCAUUUUUUUAGUCUAAUUUAAAUAUGUAAACGUUGCAAAAUCACUGCAUACCCGGGCACUCUCUGAAUAAAAUCUUCUGAUUU